rnacentral:misc_RNA from 1 species
GGUUGCAGCUCAUCAUGUUAACCCUGCAACUCUCUCAAAGCAUCAACACACUUUCUAACUUGUGGUAACAAUGUCGUAAAUAUGUCCGUGUCCUCCAUAGAAAAAUUCUGAAGCUUAUUCUUGAGUGCAUUUACAAAAAUAGCACGAUCUUCAGCGCUCAAAGCGGCGGAAGUGGAAGGGAAGAGAUCGGAAUCUGAGCGAUCUUUUAUCGAAAUGCUCAUGUUUAAUUCGUGACGAAAAAGUUGGAAAAAUGUCAAUGAAACAGAAAGAAUUUUGAAGAACUGAAGAAAAAAUAUUGAAGAGUAACAAUUAUGGUAUUAGUCCGUAUUCUGUUUGAAAUGAGAUUCA